UCAGUUGGUAGAGCGGAGGACUGUAGU
rnacentral:piRNA from 1 species